rnacentral:rRNA from 1 species
UACGAGAGGCCCAACCGUUAUUCGGAUUUACUGGGCUUAAAGAGUUCGUAGGCGGUGCCGAAAGUGGGGUGUGAAAGCCCUCGGCUCAACCGAGGAAUUGCGCUCCAAACUACUGUACUCGAGGAAGCUAGAGGUGAGCAGAACAGAUGGUGGAGCGGUGAAAUGCGUAGAUAUCGCUUGGAACGCCGAAGGUGAAAACAGGUUGCUGGGGAUGUGCCGACGCUGAGACACGAAAGCCAGGGGAGCAAACGGG